rnacentral:rRNA from 1 species
CCUACGGGCGGCAGCAGUGGGGAAUAUUGGACAAUAGGGGGAACCCUGAUCCAGCCAUGCCGCGUGUGUGAAGAAGGCCCUCGGGUUGUAAAGCACUUUCAGUGAGGAAGAACGCCUGGUGGUUAAUACCCAUCAGGAAAGACAUCACUCACAGAAGAAGCACCGGCUAACUCCGUGCCAGCAGCCGCGGUAAUACGGAGGGUGCGAGCGUUAAUCGGAAUUACUGGGCGUAAAGCGCGCGUAGGUGGCUUGAUAAGCCGGUUGUGAAAGCCCCGGGCUCAACCUGGGAACGGCAUCCGGAACUGUCAAGCUAGAGUGCAGGAGAGGAAGGUAGAAUUCCCGGUGUAGCGGUGAAAUGCGUAGAGAUCGGGAGGAAUACCAGUGGCGAAGGCGGCCUUCUGGACUGACACUGACACUGAGGUGCGAAAGCGUGGGCAGCAAACAGGAUUAGAUACCCUGGUAGUC